rnacentral:rRNA from 1 species
AUUGAACGCUGGCGGCAUGCCUUACACAUGCAAGUCGAGCGGAUGAAGGGAUCUUUGUCCUUGGUUCCGCGUCGGACGGGGGAGUGAUGUCUAUGGAUCUGUCUCCUGGUGUGGGGGAACGUCCGGCAACGGGCGGUAAUACCCCGUACGCGAUCAAGGAAAGAGAGGGGGGGCUUCUGAGCUCUCGCUCUCAAAGGAUCCUAGGUCGGAUUAGCUCGUUGGUGGGGUAAAGGCCUACCAAGGCGACGAUCAGUAACUGGUCUGAGAGGAUGAGCAGCCACACUGGGACUGAGACACGGCCCAGACUCCUACGGGAGGCAGCAGUGGGGAAUAUUGGACAAUGGGCGAAAGCCUGAUCCAGCAAUGCCGCGUGUGUGAAGAAGGUCUUCGGGUUGUAAAGCACUUUAAUCUGGAAAGAAGGGCAGGACCCUAAUACGGUGGUGUUAUGACGUUACCAGCAGAAUAAGCACCGGCUAACUACGUG